GCCAAUAUGGUGUAGUGGUUUGAGUGUUGGACUAUGAAUCUGGUGACCAGGGUUUGAAUCCCCAUUUGGCCA